rnacentral:rRNA from 1 species
UACGUAGGCAGCGAGCGUUGUUCGGAAUUACUGGGCGUAAAGAGUGUGUAGGCGGUGCUCUAAGUUCCGUGUGAAAUCUCCUGGCUCAACUGGGAGGGUGCGCCGGAAACUGGAGUGCUUGAGCGUGGGAGAGGAAAGCGGAAUUCCUGGUGUAGCGGUGAAAUGCGUAGAUAUCAGGAGGAACACCUGUGGUGUAGACGGCGUUCUGGACCAAAGCUGACGCUGAGACACGAAAGCGUGGGUAGCAAACAGG